rfam:Triticum aestivum genome assembly, contig: Triticum_aestivum_CS42_TGACv1_scaffold_515995_6BS
UGUGUACUCCCUCCGUUCCAAAAUACUUGACUUCCAUUUGUCCAAAAAUGGAUGUACCUAUAUACUAAAACAUGUCUAUAUACAUAUAUAUUUUGACAAAUAGAAGGCAUGUAUUGUGCAACGGAGGGAGUAGAAU